UCUCUCUCUCUCUCUGUCUCUCUCUCUCAAACCCUAGACACUGAAGACCGCUGAAUUAUCUGAUUUUAGCCAAAUUUAGGAAUCUAUACUGUCGAAGCUAACCCCCGGAGAGCAGAACUGAGCAUAGCAUGAGCACACGAGAUAGAGGGUCACAGCCAAUUAGGCGUACAAGGUCCCGAUCUCAAAGGGGUACUGUAGUAAAUGUUGAUCUAAAUGUUGCACCCCCAUCUGAGAACAGAGAUCAGGAAGGAACUUCUGUGCCUGUUGUGUCCGGGGAUGCGACGCAUGGACAAAGAGGUGCCUCUUUGACACCUGCAGCAAUUGAUGUUGAGGCACUUGAUGAUGAUGUGAUUAUAUCAUCCCCUAGGGCGUUUGCAGAAGCUAAGAACAACUCCAGAAGGAAUCGAGGACGGGUUAUUGUGGUUGAUGUGGAUUCUGCUAUUGCAGAGGGCCUUUCAUCUAGGGCCUCAAGUAACAGUCGCAACAGGCGUAGAAGAGUCUCUACAGAUCAAGCAACAAACAAUGGUGGCAUUCACAUAGACCUAGAAGGACAUAGCUGUCCAAAGAGUGUAAAUGUAAAAAGUGCAAUACCACCACAACCGAAAGAGCCCGCAUUCAGCUGUCCAGUGUGCAUGGGUCCAUUAGUUGAGGAGAUGUCGACUAAAUGUGGUCACAUUUUCUGCAAGGCAUGCAUAAAAGCGUCGAUAGCUGCUCAGCAUAAAUGUCCUACAUGUAGGAGAAAAAUCACUAUGAGAGACACCAUAAGAGUGUAUCUUCCAACCACAAGUUAAGUCAAAGGAGUUUUCCAUCGUUUAUACGACCUGUGAAGGAAGUGUAUUUGGAGAGUGGAAGGGAAGUAUGAUUGAAGAUACUUUUAUUCAAUCUUAUCAAUAGUGAGGGUAUACUCUGCUACUUCAAGUUACUGUCAAUGGACCAACUAAAACCAACUCUUCCUGAAACUCAGUUCUUUCCUUCAGUCUACUAAUGUAAACACCUGGGCAGCCUUCACAAACUCAUAGGCGGAUCUAGGACGAAUUUUGUGGUUCAAAUAGACGCGAGUUCCUUUUGGCUCGAACUAUGUAUAUAUAUGCGGAAAGAAACUUAAAAUGCAUACAUAU